UGAAUACGAGACGCUAAGGCGUCGAAGUAGUGUAUGUCAUACUUCCAAGAAAAGCUUGCACUGUCAUAGAUAAAAAACGCCUGUACCAUAACCGACACAGGUGGGUAGGUAGAGUAUACUAAGGGGCGCGAGAUAACUCUCUCUAAGGAACUCGGCAAAAUAACUCCGUAACUUCGGGAGAAGGAGUGCCUUAUUAUUAAGGCUGCAAUAACAAGAUCCAAGCAACUGUUUAUCAAAAACACAGGUCUCCGCUAAGUCGUAAGACGAUGUAUGGGGGCUGACGCCUGCCCAGUGCCAGAAGGUUAAAGAAGUUGGUUAGCAUUUGCGAAGCUGAUAACUGAAGCCCUGGUGAACGGCGGCCGUAACGAUAACGGUCCUAAGGUAGCGAAAUUCCUUGUCGGGUAAGUUCCGACCCGCACGAAAGGCGUAAUGAUUUGGAUACUGUCUCGGAGAGGGGCUCGGUGAAAUAGACUUGUCUGUGAAGAUGCGGACUACCUGCACCAGGACAGAAAGACCCCAUGAAGCUUUACUGUAACUUGAAAUUGAAAUUGGACUUUAUUCGCGCAGCAUAGGUGGGAGGCGUUGAUUAUAAUCUUGUGGGAUUAUUGGAGCCAUCAGUGAGAUACCACUCUUGUAAUGUUAGAUUUCUAACUUUGAAUCAUUAUCUGGUCAAAGAACAGUUUCAGGCGGGCAGUUUGACUGGGGCGGUCGCCUCCUAAACGGUAACGGAGGCGUACAAAGGUUUCCUCUGAACGGUUAGAAAUCGUAUCUAGAGUGUAAAGGCAUAAGGAAGCUUGACUGUGAGACCUACAAGUCGAGCAGGGACGAAAGUCGGUCUUAGUGAUCUGACGGUACUGAGUGGAAAGGCCGUCACUCAACGGAUAAAAGUUACUCUAGGAUAACAGGCUGAUCUCCCCCAAGAGUUCACAUCGACGGGGAGGUUUGGCACCUCGAUGUCGGCUCAUCGCAUCCUGGGGCGGUAGUACGUCCCAAGGGUUGGGCUGUUCGCCCAUGAAAGCGGUACGCGAGCUGGGUUCAGAACGUCGUGAGACAGUUCGGUCCAUAUCCGGUGUAGGCGUUAGAAUAUUGAGAGGAGCCUUCUUUAGUACGAGAGGACCGAGAAGGACAUACCUCUGGUGUACCAGUUAUCGUGCCAACGGUAAACGCUGGGUAGCUAUGUAUGGAGUGGAUAACCGCUGAAAGCAUCUAAGUGGGAAGCCCACCUCAAGAUAAG
rnacentral:rRNA from 1 species